AUUGAACGCUGGCGGCAUGCUUUACACAUGCAAGUCGAACGGUAACAGGCCGCAAGGUGCUGACGAGUGGCGAACGGGUGAGUAAUGCAUCGGAACGUGCCCAGUCGUGGGGGAUAACGCAGCGAAAGCUGUGCUAAUACCGCAUACGAUCUAUGGAUGAAAGCGGGGGACCGUAAGGCCUCGCGCGAUUGGAGCGGCCGAUGUCAGAUAGGGUAGUUGGUGGGGUAAAGGCUCACCAAGCCAGCGAUCUGUAGCUGGUCUGAGAGGACGACCAGCCACACUAGGACUGAGACACGGCCCAGAAUCCUACGGGAGGCAGCAGUGGGGAAUUUUGGACAAUGGGCGCAAGCCUGAUCCAGCGAUGCCGCGUGCAGGAAGAAGGCCUUCGGGUUGUAAACUGCUUUUGUACGGAACGAAAAGGUUUGGGUUAAUACCCUGGGCCGAUGACGGUACCGUAAGAAUAAGCACCGGCUAACUACGUGCCAGCAGCCGCAGUAA
rnacentral:rRNA from 1 species